CCCCUCCGCGCGCAUGCCAACAGACCCCUCAUCCGCCGUGCGCCUGACGCCCACCCCGACACUACCCACCUCCAUCGUGCUCCGCUCCCCGUCCUUCGUCCCCUCGCCUGUCGCCUCAGCCUCCACGCGACGCGACCACGGCUCGCCUUCAAAAUUCAAAUCCUCGCCGCUAGACGCGCCCACUGCCAUCCAGCCUCUGGGGUCUGGCUCACUGCCCGGCCGUCAGGCCACCUGGCACUGGCCACGCCCAGUCGGUGCGGAAGAGGAGGCCGCGGACCUGGCCGAGCUCCCUUGUGAGGUGGUCCCGGGGCGCGCGGGCCUCACGGUGGCCCAUGGACGCCGGGCGGAAGUCACGCCGAGCGGAAGUCACGCUGAGCCAUCCAUGCCUACCCUGGCUUCUUCCCUGCCUACGCGGAAGUUGGAGCUGAGUCUUGAGUGCCCAUGAAGCUCAUAUCGACAUGUUGGCCUUGUUGGGUAGCAGGUUGGAGCAGGUUACUCCGUUACUGCCGAUGUGCAUUCACAGUAUGAAAAUGAGAUCCAGGAAUUGAUGGAUGUGAUUUCUGUUGAAUAAGAGGAGAAAAAUGACAUUCACAGGAAGCUUCAGAAUGUGGAAAAUGAGUGUAAAUGCAAGCUGGAUUGAUGAGUUGAAAAGGAAGACGAGUUUCUUCAAACAGAAAACGUCAUGAACCAAUUCUAAUAGGAAAACAGAAACAAGAUUUGUAUCCUCAACAUGCUUAUUAAGUAGCGUUCCAUGGGCUUGUCUUUCAGUUCUGAAAAGGGAGCAGAAGAUAUGAACCAUGACCCCCUUAUCUAAUCUUCAGAAACUGCAACUGUUUCCCUUACGGCGUAGCUUUAUCUCAUACUGCCGGAUUUAGAAAAAUCCACUGCUCCAAAUUCCAAAAAUGACAUAUCACUGCCAGUUGCAUUAGAACCAACUGUGCUCUAAAUAUGUAAUAUAGUCAUUUCAGUUUGUUUCUGAUCGCAAUCUUCCUGCAUACUUGAGACAAAAGAAGCUUGUUUCUGAACCUUUUUGAGUCAUGCAAUGUUGUCAGGAUAACCUGUCCAAAAAUCAUUCCUGGUCAUGAACUUCCACUAAUUAGUAGUAAGUAGUUUAUUCUAUAAUUAUAUUGGAGCCUAAAAUGCAUUAGCUUGUCCAAAAACCAUCACUUUAUCUACUCUUGAUCAGUUUUGAUAAUUUGUUCUUUGGAUCUAGAACACAGUAGAGGUAUGCCUGAAAAUGCAUUAGCUUGUAGUCAACUGUGCUAACGAAAGCAUAGCAGAUCAUAGAUAGUGUUUAAAAUUUAAAUAAUGUACUUCGCUUAUUUUUGCUGCUUUUAUAGCCUUGAAGACUUUGAAUAAAAAAACAUAGUUCAGGUACAUAAUAAAAAAGAGCUUCCUGCAUACUUGACACAAAAAGAUUCCAUCCCGCCCACCCUUUAAUUCGGUCUUCAGAGAGUUUGAAUAAAAAAAUGGAAAACAAGAGCUUCAGGUAACUCCUUUGUACAAAGGAGCUUCUCUUCAAUAGCAUCAAGUUAAUUGUUAGUUAAGAAAACAUAUCAAGUAUCUUUUGUGGAGGGCAGUUAUGGACUGAGACAUCUCAUCUCACUUGUAGAGUUAAGUAAACUAAAAUAGCAUCAAGUUAAUUGUUAGUUUACACAAUAUUUUGAAAUGCGCCCAGCAACAUGCAUUUUAGUACGUGUUUAUGCCAUGUGAUGCAUGUUCAACUGCAUUAUCUUCAUUUUCAUCCCUUCUACAAAGUUUCCAACAUCUGAACCAUCUGUUACUUCUCAGCAGGUUGCAGAUGUAGGCCAUUCCUGAAGAAUGAUGGUCAGUUGCUGCUACGUCUAAUCAUUGGGUUCCGUAUUACUACAUACACGGAGAAAACAGAUUUUCCACAUAUAUUCUUUGUUUUGUUCUACAAACAAAGUUAAGUGCUUCGACAACAUAUUCCUACCUUCUAGCUCUCUCUGAAGCAAAUUUAUUUCCUUUCUUUUGGGGGGAGAAGAUCUCUUCAAACAUGUGAGGAUGUUUCUGCUGGGCAAGAAAAUGCUUUAGAUGUUUCUAUUGGGUAGAGAGAAAAAUGGUGCUGGAUCGAUUUAAAUACAGUACAUGUUCUAUGCUGCCAUAGCUAAAACAGCGUUCGUUGUUUAGAAUCCUAGGUAUCUUAAACUGUCUUGUCAUUGCUAUUAGUAUUUUCCAAUGCCCAUAUUGAUGUAUUUAUCCUAAUUUUCGUCUCAUGAUGAUCUCCAGGGCCGGUCCUGGAGGGGGGCAAGUGGAGCGGCCGCACCGGGCCCCCGAUUUUAGAAGGGCCCCCAAGUAGUGUACAUGUAUAUAGGUUUUAUAUGUUGGGUCCGGCCUGUUAAAGUUACAAUAGACCUAUUUUUUAAUUGUCUAACUAACUAAAAUUGCAUCUGUAACUCCAGACAUUCAAGAGUAUAUUUGGGUUUUUAUUGAGCUCGACAACAUUGAAGACGUUAAAUGAUACUGAACUAGAAGCAUGUUGCAGUGAAUUCGCAAAAACAUUCUCUUCACAAGCCAGUUCUGACAUUGAGCUUUUCAAAGUUAAAAUUGUAGAAGAACUAUUCAAGAUGGAUCACGAGAGAACACCCAAGCCUAAUAUGACAUGAAGUCACACACAGCGCAACUCUCCGAGUACCACCUCGAUCGUUGGAUGAGGACGAGCAACGAAGCAAGCUAUAAAAGGGGCAGGUUCAACAUCAUUGGCGCAUGGAGCCGAACGCCAUAACAGACCCCUAGAGGAACUAAUCCCAUCUUUGUAUCCUAGGUCAGCACCAUGGCACACGACAUCGAAAUUGCACAUCUCGGCGCCAUAACCUAUCCUCAGAUGAAAUAAUUCCAUAUUUGGACCCUCAUGGUCAGUGUUA